rnacentral:tRNA from 1 species
GGAGAAAUACCCAAGCGGCUGAAGGGGCUGGUCUCGAAAACCGGUAGGAGGUUUAGGCCUCGCGAGGGUUCAAAUCCCUCUUUCUCCGCCA